AUGCUGCUCCUGAGAUGGUUCACCUCCUGCUGCUGCCUCUGGGUUUUUGGGCUUGGGCAGCUAGAGCAAACUGAAGUAUCGGUCACCAGAGCGACAGAUGAGAGUGCACAAAUACCCUGUAUAGUUUCUCUUCCAGACUUCAGCAACACAGAAAUACACUGGUACCGGCAAAAAGCAAAACAGUUUGAAUAUCUAAUAUAUGUUGUGACAAACUAUAAUCAAAGACCCUUAGGAAGGAAGAACAAAAAAAUUGAAGCAAGUAAAGAUUUUCAAACUUCUACCUCAACCUUGAAAAUAAAUUACUUGAAGAAAGAAGAUGAAGCCACCUACUACUGUGCAGUCUGGACAGGCACAUCAUGGGUCAAGAUAUUUGCCAAAGGGACAAAGCUCGUAGUAAUUCCCCCAGACAAACGCACUGACUCCGACUUUUCUCCCAAGCCUACUAUUUUCCUUCCUUCUGCUGCUGAAACAAAUCUCCAUAAGGCUGGGACAUACCUUUGUCUCCUUGAAAAGUUCUUUCCUGAAGUCAUAAGGGUGUAUUGGAAAGAAAAGGAUGGUGAUAAGAUUCUGGAAUCUCAGGAAGGAAACACCAUAAAAACUAAUGACAGAUACAUGAAAUUUAGUUGGCUGACGGUGACUGGAGAUUCAAUGGCUAAAGAACAUAGUUGCAUUGUCAAACACGAAAACAACAAAAGAGGAGUUGACCAAGAGAUUCUGUUUCCUCCGAUAGGUAAAGCUGCCAACAUCAUUACUCCCACAGAAUCUGCUUUGAAGACUGAGAGUGCUUUCACAACUAUUAAUGUUAAUCCCAGAGACAGUGUUUUGCGACAUGAAAAUGUUAACAAUGCUACUGAUCUGGAAGCUUGCAUGAAAGGAAGAAAGGAUAUGUUGCAGCUUCAGGUCACCACCACCUGUGCAUUCUACACCUACCUCAUCCUGUUCUUCAAGAGCAUGGUCCACUUGGCCUUUGUUGUAUUCUGUCUAUUCAGAAGAGCAGCCAUGUCCUGUGAUGAUCAACGUUCAUAA